UACGGCCGGAUCAAGUUGAAACACUGGUUCCCGUACAAUCACCGAUGUUAAGCAACGUUGAGUCUGAUCAGUACCGAGAUAAGUGACUGCUUGGGAAUAUCAGGUGCUGCAA